rnacentral:rRNA from 1 species
CCUACGGGAGGCAGCAGUGGGGAAUAUUGGUCAAUGGGCGCAAGCCUGACCCAGCAACGCCGCGUGAAGGAAGAAGGCUUUCGGGUUGUAAACUUCUUUUCUCAGGGACGAAGCAAGUGACGGUACCUGAGGAAUAAGCCACGGCUAACUACGUGCCAGCAGCCGCGGUAAUACGUAGGUGGCAAGCGUUAUCCGGAUUUACUGGGUGGAAAGGGCGGGUAGGCGGGACUGCAAGUCAGAUGUGGAAACCAUGGGCUCAACCUAUGGCCUGCAUUUGAAACUGUAGGUCUUGAGUACUGGAGAGGCAGACGGAAUUCCUAGUGUAGCGGUGAAACGCGUAGAUAUUAGGAGGAACACCAGUGGCGAAGGCGGGCUGCUGGACAGCAACUGACGCUGAGGCGCGAAAGCGUGGGUAGCAAACAGGAUUAGAUACCCCUGUAGUC